GCUUUAAUUAGUUUAAGGAAAAAUGUUGAAUUGUGGGUUCAAAGAUGAGAUUUUUCAUUGAGUA
rnacentral:tRNA from 1 species